rnacentral:rRNA from 1 species
CCCUUAGAUGUUCUGGGCCGCACACGCGCUACACUGAAGGAGGCAGCGUGUACUCCUGGAUCGAAAGAUUUGGGUAACCCGCGAAUCUCCUUCGUGCUAGGGAUUGAGGUUUGCAAUUAUCCUUCAUGAACGAGGAAUUCCCAGUAAGUGCAAGUCAUAAGCUUGCGCUGACUACGUCCCUGCCCUUUGUACACACCGCCCGUCGCUACUACCGAUUGAAUGAUUUAGUGAGGACUUCGGACUGGGACCGAUGCGGCUUUCGGGCUGCGUCGGUAUUCUGGAAAGAUGUCCAAACUGUAUCAUUUAGAGGAAGUAAAANUCGUANCA